UUAAUGAACAGCUAUUGCUAACUCCAUACGGUGAAUCUAACCGGUUUCGACCCAGAAGACCCAGGCCCAGUAGUGGUGCGCUGUGCACGUCCUUCAGUGCAGAGCUGUCAGGAAGCACGAAUCGCUGCAGUUCUGAUGACAACCUUCCACAUGACAACAGCGAUGGGGAUAAGGCGCUCAUCUGCGUUCCUGCCCCCAUGUCUCCUGGCUCUGCUGAAGAUGCUGACCUGAGCCCACCAGCCAUGGCAGUCGCUAGCCUGGAUUGUGACUCAGUGUCCUUCCAGUGCAGCCCACCUCAUGCAGAGUCUGAGUGCCCGGGCAGCAGCACCUCCAUGAGGAGCAGGUCGGCAUCGCCGAGGAGGACUUAUAAUCAGGCAGCCAGUCCCAGGCACCGGGAGGCACACACAAGCGUGAUGCAGUCACGCUGCUCUCCGAAUUCUGUGCUUGAUUAAUCCGAAGAAAUCUUUAUGCCAUGAUGAGCAAACCAUGCUAUCUACCAAAUGAUGUCAAAGUCUUCUUUCUCACCCUUCACUUCCCUUUCCUGCACGUGAAGCAGCAACCUGCUGGCCAUCAGAGAAUGUCAGUGGUCAUCAGAAGGCUUUGUUGGCUGUCAGAGGGCUCCACUGAUCAUGAGAGAUCUUCACUGACCAUCAGAGGGCUUCAUUAAUGAACAGAGGGUGUCAUCGGUCAUCAGAGAGGAGAUUUGAGCCCCUCUUGAGCUACUGAAGGCCGCUCUUAGGUCUCCCCGGAUCCUUCUCCAGGCUGCCAAGUUCAAUGCAUACCAAGAAAUGCUUCAUGGAGACAAAUCAGUGGAACUAUAAAGACUAGAAUGUCUUUAACCUCAACAGAAUAAUUCUAAAAAGUCAAACGGGCUCUGUUAUAGAAGCUAGUUACGUGAUAGCAAAUCUGACGGCAGGAAAAUCCAAACCAUUUCCCGAUGGUGACUUUGUUAAGCAAUGUAUGGAAAACACAACAGGCAUAAUGUGUCCUGAUUUAAAACACAAAAACCAGGUGUCUUCUGCAUCUUCUAAGGGUCAUACUGGUUCUCCAGGAGUUUCGCUAAGGAAAGAUGCUGGGUUGACAGUAUUGGCUUCUACAUCAUCCUGCUCUAUUGCAACUGCUACUGUUCUUCCCAAUUUCUUUCUUUCCUUACAAUCCCUGUUUCCGUAUACUCUGCAAGCCCCCUCUAUUAAUUUGCCCAGGUCCCUUAGCUUCCCAGGUACCUCACCCGUUCCUUGAAUCUGUAGAAAAUAAAGCCAUCCUUGCCCUGACUAGCAAAAGACCUUGGGAGGUGUAAACAAGUUCAGCAGACAUGGAGGGACAGAGUUUCCUCUUUCAGAAAAGCUGAAAGAUUGUAACUAUUCAUGUCAGACAGACCCUCUCAACACAGUCAGGAGUUGUCUAGCUUGUACACCUGGCAUGGGUGUGAGCAGAGGCUAUAAAGACCAUGGGCAAGCCCCACCAAACCUGAGGUGGCUUGACAGCGAAGAGUGGAGAAGCCCAGCUCCAGUGUCAUGUACUUCAGGGCAGGAUGGAAGAUCCAGCACUGCCACACGCAUUGGCAAGAGGGUCACGUUUAAUAAGUGCAUACUGACCAAGUGCAUAUUGUUCAUCACACACAAUAAAAGUUUUUGUUGUGCACUAA